AUGAUUGAAAAUAACCUUAGUGGUGAUAGAAAAUCGAGAGAAUCGCGAGGAGGACCUACUGGUGGAGGAGGUCGCGAACUCGCAAUGUUGAAGAUGCGCAGAGAUGUUGCGAGUGUUGAGCGGAGGCCGGCCUCGGUUGUAGAUAAAAUGAAGGUUUGUUGGAGCGAAGUGAUGAAGGUGGGAAGCGAAACGCGUCGGAGGGAAAUCAGCGAUCAGAGUGAAGGAGGCAGACUUUGGAGUGCUGGAACGGAAGUGAUGAAGGGUGAAGUGAAGGAAACUCUAAAUAUUUACACUUAUU